GACGAACGCUGGCGGCGUGCUUAACACAUGCAAGUCGAACGGAAAGGCCCCCUUGUGGGGUACUCGAGUGGCGAACGGGUGAGUAACACGUGAGUAACCUACCCUUGACUUUGGGAUAACUUCAGGAAACUGGGGCUAAUACCGGAUAGGAGCUCCUGCUGCAUGGGGGGGGUUGGAAAGUUUCGGCGGUUGGGGAGGGACUCGCGGCUUAUCAGCUUGUUGGUGGGGUAGUGGCUCACCAAGGCUUUGACGGGUAGCCGGCCUGAGAGGGUGACCGGCCACAUUGGGCCUGAGAUACGGCCCAGACUCCUACGGGAGGCAGCAGUGGGGAAUAUUGCACAAUGGGCGGAAGCCUGAUGCAGCAACGCCGCGUGCGGGAUGACGGCCUUCGGGUUGUAAACCGCUUUCGCCUGUGACGAAGCGUGAGUGACGGUAAUGGGUAAAGAAGCACCGGCUAACUACGUG
rnacentral:rRNA from 1 species